UCUACCCUGGUCUGGACUGUGUGCCUUGUGCUUCCUGCAUCUGCUGCUUGAUUUCCUGGCAUCCUGAUCUGGCUUGGCUCCUGGCAUCUGACUUGUGGUUCCUGGCCUCCAGUUUGUUUCCUGCCUCUGACCCCCUGGUAUCCUGACCCAGCUGACUCUUAACUCCUGUCUCAUGACUGCAGACUCUAGCUCUGACUGUUGCGUCUUGCUGCCCACAAUCCAGCUAUGACAUUUAGAAGCAAUCUUAAAGGCAAAUUGUAAAAGAAAAAAAAAGGAUGCACAGAUUUUCUUUUUUUUUUUUUCCUAACAUGGGCAAAGGGGAUAGAAAGUUUUAUUUUCUUCUGGUUGUUUUCAAUGUUAGAAAUUUGUGGUCUUGUCUACCCUGUUUUUGCCUGAGAACUUUCAGGAAGACUGGAGAAUUAGUCUUAUGACAUCAGAAGGGAGACUGAAACUUGAGCCAUUGAGAGGAGACAAGGGAUUUUAAGUCUGUUUUAGACUUUGUUGGGGUCUGAGUUAAAUAGGAGCUAACAAACAAACAGUUAGGAGAAAAACUCUUUGUUAAAGAUUCAAACUUCCCUAUCCUUUCACUUGAAAACUGAGAAAACUUCCUAAUAAAGUAAAAGCUUCACAAGUUGCAACAGCUUGUACAUAUUUCCCUCAACAACAUGGAAGCCUGUUACUUUUACUAAGGGACUAUUUAUCUGUCUCCAUAUUGGACAUUGUAUUACCGGAGUCCGAGUCUUAUCAGGACACCUGAAUCCUCCAAGAGUCUGUGUUGGAACUGUAAAUUAUUAUUUACUAGUAAGUUACUGGCAUGACAUGCUAUACCAAGUGUUCCCAAAGUGUAAAGAAGAGACAGAAUCCUCAACAUCUGCAGACCCAGGUACAACUUGUUGAAGAUAGAACUUGAAUGUGUCUGGGAUUCCAUGUUCAAUUAUUACAUGGACACACACACACACACAGCUGCAGAAGUUAAUCACCACUCUACAUAUAAAAAAGCAGCUCCUCUUUCACAUGAACAGGGUGACCAGGACAAAGGCAGUCUAGCCUAAUAGUCAGAGCAGGCAUCAGUAGUUAGAAACUGGAGUCAAGGGUAAGCCAAUGGGCAGGAACUGGAUACCAGAGCCAAAGGUCAAGCUGGAGUCAGAACGGAAGCCAGAGCCACAGGUCAACCUAGCAGUCAGGAACUGGAGUAAGGAGGGGAGGAGCUGCAGCAAAAAACAAGCUAUGAACUGAAGCUGAGAGAGACCAGACAUGUGGAAAAUUAAUGGAAAAACUUCUUUAGGAAGAGAAAUUCAUUUGUGGGACAAACUCUAGGAAAGUUUGCAGCAGAAGCUGCAGUUAAGAUGGGUAUAGCUGCAGUCAGCCUCCUUUGGACAAAGUCUGAAUAUCCCUUUGUUUCCAAAUAUAAAUGCCAUAGACAUAUGGACACAGAAUUACAGUGAAAGCUUUGGAUGUUUGGCUCCAAUGGUACCCCUCAACAACACUACAUUGCAACACAGAGCUAUUUUGCUUUGGCUGCCUAGACUCCAGACCAGUUACCCACCACAGACCUAGCCAUUAUCAUCUGCCUUCAGAUGCCGCGCUGCUGUCAUCAUGGAAACCUGUCUUGGUGUCAUCAGGGAAGAACAGACCAACGAGGGAUCGCCCCAGUGUUCCUCUCUCGAGGCUCUAGACGAGCUAAGAGAUAGAGGUCCUGAGCAACUCACGGAAGGGGACUUCUAUCUGCAUAUCUCCAAGUGCCUGACAGAUUAACAAAUUAAGCCUCACAACAUAACAACCCUGUUAGAAAGGACUGGAUUCUAUAAUCACCCUGCCCACGAAGCCGCAAUUGAUGUAAAAACAAAACUGGAUCCUUUACUAAUAUACAAGAUUAUCUAUUUAUCUAAUGUCUCAAAGGGAUCACUGCAUUAAUGAUACAGAGGAUUCAGAAAGGGAAGCUGUGCUACGCAGAUUAGGCUAAAAGGAUCCCCCAAAAGAGGCUAGUACAAGUGGGUGGCCUGGAGACCACACCAGCACUCCCCAAACUAUUGUGGAUACCUGGCGGACCACAAGACAGAAACCCCCCAGUAAACAGCAAGGAGGAGGAGGGGAGGUGGCAGACAUGGGGACUCCAGCCAUGCCAUGAGCCAGGACCUGUUUGAUAGUCCUCAACAGUCCAGCCAGCCAAACAUGGAUGAGACCGAUGAAGGGGAUGCGCCCUUUGCAGCUUCUGCCUUUGCAGUCUUGAAGGAUGCCUCCUCAACAUCUGUAGAAUGCAAGACCCUGGUGAGGCAAAGAAAGAAGAUGACAAAGGAGGGCAUGCUCUGCGAGAUCCUGCAAGCCAGAGCUGCAUCAGACCUUGAAUGAAGGAUCUGGAGAACCAAUAUGACCAACAGCAUGGAGAAAGGGGUCCCAGUAGGAAAAGGACAGGUAGAUAUACCAGGACAUAAUGGGCUUCUCAGGCAGCAAGCCCAAAUGCUGCAGACCCUGGUUGACCUAUUGGUUUAAAAAUCAGACUUCCCACCCUUUACUGUCCUUGGAAAACUCCAUGGUAGCAGCUUAUUUCCCCCCCCCACCACCACCACAUACCAGGUGACAUCACAGUGCACAUAAAUAUCCCUAUCACUCCACACCAGGGGACAGUAAGGAAAACCACCACUUCAUAAACACUGACCUGUGAGAACCAUGGCAGGUGUACAUGUAGCUACAAGGGACUACAUCUGUGGACUGAUAUGGACAGAAAUGUUUGCUGCCUUUCCAAUUUUUAAGUUCUGUAACUCUGUUAAAAAUUUGUGUUGCAUUGCCUUUUGCAUGUUGUUCUUUUGCCCUGGU